CAAAGGCUUCAAAUCAUUGCAUAGGGUUAAAAUACAACUGUAUUUUGCAUAAAGUGGAAAAUUCUUGGUUACAAGAUGUUAAAACGUUUUUGUGUGGCAUGGUUCAAACCCGCACAUUUCUUUUUUGGUUACAGUGCCCCAUGCACCUGGUGUCCUCUCAUCGCUGUCUGCUGCUAUGCAACUGUGUCUUUAGCAACCCUGUGUAUCCAUGGAUCAAGUGUACGAUUAUGAGGCAACAGAAGAAGUCUGUAAGGUUUAAAGCUAGGAUGUUCUUUCUGCCCAAGAUGGUGCCCAGAAAAGAAGCAGGAAACUGAACCACAUGUGAAAUUCCAUCCUAAAGGCAGCUCCAUUUGGGAAGAGUGUCACAAUUUCCUGGAAUUCUGGUGACAUCACAGUAGCCCCUCUGAGCAAGAACAGACAUGGGAAUAUCAGCAGUUUUGCCUGAACAUGCUUUGAUGCACAAUCCAUCCAUAUAGGUGGGGCCAGCCUGAAGAAGGGGAGCAAAGGACCACCUUGUGUUUCUGGACCCAUUCCUGGAAGGAGCAGCCUGGGGAGCACGGCCAGCUAAUGACACAAAAGGAAUCACCUAACUAGAUAUGCCAGGCAUGAAAAGAGAUGAAUCAAAAUAAGAAUAACUGAAGAAUACUCACCCUUCCCCUUGGGGAAAGAAUUGAGAUCAUCACUGCAACUGCUUGAGAAAGAAGACUGCUCCAGGUCUUGCGAGGGACAACAUACUGUACUGAGAUCACUAUGCAACAGGAGAAAAAAACUGCCCUAAGAGUCAAGCUGUCAAAAGAAUGGCAGAAGAACAGAAUGCAGAGAAGCAAGAAAAAAAGCCACACAACUGAAUUGCCAUAUGAACUGAAAACACUGAAGAAAACGUAACUACUGGACCAUCCAAUUUUUCAUUGGCCACAGAAUCCACUGCCCUUUCAUUGUCAGGUUAAUUACCUAGGAGUGAUGAAAAUACUGUUGGAAAAAUACAUGCUGAUGAGCAGAAGGCACUGUUCUAUGUGCUUCUGUGCCUGAUUGGAAAGCUGCACAGAAGUCACACUCCUCAGCUUCAAUCUGCUCCCACGGAUCCUCCAAAGUAGAGAUGUUCUGGGAUGGACCCCAGGUGACUGUGUCACGCCUGGCUCACAGUAAGUAUGCUUACAGUGAGCAAGUCUCUAAUGGCAUGGACACUUCCCAGUAUUUGAAAGCCACAGCUGCACACUUUGGUAAUGUAAUUUGGUGUAAUAGAUUUAGCAAAACACAAUUUGCUGGGUAUAGAAAAACACAAGCCCUGCACAGAGAAGGAACACACAGACACUGCAUGGAUAUCGGGGCAGCAGUUGAAGGAGAACCUGUAGCCAUCAUUGCUCACUUUAUCAAAGAAUUCAAAGCAGCUGAAACUUACUGUGGAGUGCCCUAGUGUUAUAAAACAGAUCCUAGGCAUGUCUUGAAAUAUGGAGAAAAUUACUUAGAAUACACAUAUAUAUGCAUGUUUCUAUGGUUCUCUGAAACCAUGCAUUGUUAAAUUCUCUGUAUUUUGUACGUGUCUGCACACGUGUGUUUCUAGUAAGGUGGAUUUGUGCAUUACAAACAUCUAACAGACUUGCCAUGCACUGAGGUUGUCUGCUCUGGGAAGUAGCGCAAUGAUCAAACAAGAACAGAAACUCCAUUUCUGAAUUUUACAUGGAAUGACAUGAGCUUAUUUUUGACAGAAGUGGUGGAAGCCCCAUCCUUGGAGACAUUCAAGAUGAGGCUUUGAGCAAUUUGAUGUAGCUGUGCAUGUCCCUGUUCACUGCAAGGGAGUUAAACUAGAUGACCUUUAAGGGACCCUUCCAACUCAAAUGAUUCUACGAUUCUGUUUACUUACACACUCUGAAGCGGUGAUUGUCAAAGAGCUGGACAUGAAAGACUGCCCUUCGUUCAAACUCACCAAAACUUCUAUAGUUCUGGAAAGAAAAGGAAAAACAAUCAGCAGCCAUAAAGCACUCAGUAAAGGCACAUACACGCUACAGAGGCACUGGGACGUACAGACUCCAUUCAGCAGAGUGGCUGUUCUCAGACAGGUGUCCUUAGAAACCAAUCCUUUCUCAUUUCCAAUUGAGCUUUCUUCAAUUCAUGCUGCUUAGAAUUGAAUACACCAAUAGCUUGCCAUGUCCCUCUGGGGUUGUAUUGGUGACUGUUAGAAAUAAUUUCAGUCUUCUCAACAGAGAGCUGAGAAUAUCCCUUCUCUAUUCCACGUAACAUAAAACACCCCCAAAAGUUCCGCAUAAAAUAAAUUGUGGAUUGACUGUAAAAAUAGCAUUGUUUUGUCUACUCCAUAACCAUCUCUUUAGUCAUACACAGACACUAUGGAUAAAAAUGUUGAAUAAUUAUAAAUGGUCAAGACUUUCUAUAAAUAGUACAUAAACACUGCGUGCAAAUAGUAUGUGGUUUAUAUUUUACAAAUUAACCCUAAAAGAAAACAACACAUGGCGAAUGUUAAACAGAAGAGGACUCUUCAGCAUCUCUGGCUUGGAUUCCCAAGAUUCGAACAGUUUAUGUUAUGCAUAGUUGUAAUUAAAUAAAAAUAUAGAUAUCCAUGAACUAAAAUGAUUAAUCAUUUAUAGCGUUCUUCUUAGAUGUCAUCAAUUUUUAUUCUGGCACAAACGCUUUAGUCAAUAUGGAGUUCAGAGCUAUUUUAACUAAUUUGGCUAAUCUCUUUUUCAAUUUAAGUAAAAAUGAAGUAAGUUGCUUCCACUAAACUCAUUUUUAAAUGGUCUGUGUUAUGAAUAAUUGAUCUAACAGAAAGAAUAACACUAAUUUACUUCUAAUUACUACAGGAGUGAGUGAAUCAGAACAGAUAAAAUAAAAAAUUAAUUGAAUUCUCUCCCAACUAAA